rnacentral:rRNA from 1 species
CCCGGGUGGCUGCAGUGGGGAAUAUUGGACAAUGGGGGGAACCCUGAUCCAGCCAUGCCGCGUGUGUGAAGAAGGCCCUCGGGUUGUAAAGCACUUUCAGUGAGGAAGAACGCCUGGUGGUUAAUACCCAUCAGGAAAGACAUCACUCACAGAAGAAGCACCGGCUAACUCCGUGCCAGCAGCCGCGGUAAUACGGAGGGUGCGAGCGUUAAUCGGAAUUACUGGGCGUAAAGCGCGCGUAGGUGGCUUGAUAAGCCGGUUGUGAAAGCCCCGGGCUCAACCUGGGAACGGCAUCCGGAACUGUCAAGCUAGAGUGCAGGAGAGGAAGGUAGAAUUCCCGGUGUAGCGGUGAAAUGCGUAGAGAUCGGGAGGAAUACCAGUGGCGAAGGCGGCCUUCUGGACUGACACUGACACUGAGGUGCGAAAGCGUGGGUAGCAAACAGGAUUAGAUACCCUUGUAGUC